rnacentral:rRNA from 1 species
AACGAACGCUGGCGGCAUGCCUAACACAUGCAAGUCGAACGAGACCUUCGGGACUAGUGGCGCACGGGGGUGGCGCGCGUGGGAAGCGUCCCUUAUGGUCGGCAUACCUCUCCGAAAGGGGUGCUAACGGCGGAUAAUGUCUUCGAACCGAAGAUUUAUCGCCCUUGGAUGGGCACGCGUUGGAUUAGCUUGUUGGGAGGGUAAAAGCCUACCAAGGCGACGAUCCAUAGCUGGGUAGAGAGGAUGAUCAGCCACACUGGGACUGAGACCCGGCCGAGACUCUUACGGGAGGGAGCAGAGGGGAAUAUUGGACAAUGGGGGAAGGGCUGAUGCAGCUCGGCCGGGUGAGUGAUGAAGGUCUUAGGGUAGUAAAGCUCUUUUAACCGGGAUGAUCAUGACGGUACCGGGAGAAUAAGCUCCGGCUAACUCCGUG